AUGGUUGUCGUCAGCUCGUGCCGUGAGGUGUCGGGUUAAGUCCCAUAACGAGCGCAACCCCUAUCAUUAGUUGCCAUCAGGUCAAGCUGGGGACUCUAAUGAAACUGCCUACGCAAGUAGUGAGGAAGGUGGGGAUGACGUCAAAUCAGCACGGCCCUUACGUCCAGGGCUACACACGUGCUACAAUGGCCGGUACAAAGGGCAGCUACCUGGUGACAGGAUGCUAAUCUCAAAAGCCGGUCUCAGUUCGGAUCGGAGUCUGCAACCCGACUCCGUGAAGUUGGAUUCGCUAGUAAUCGCGCAUCAGCCAUGGCGCGGUGAAUACGUUCCCGGGCCUU
rnacentral:rRNA from 1 species